rnacentral:rRNA from 1 species
GAUGAACGCUGACGGCGUGCCUAAUACAUGCCAGUCGAGCGAACGGACGAGAAGCUUGCUUCUCUGAUGUUAGCGGCGGACGGGUGAGUAACACGUGGAUAACCUACCUAUAAGACUGGGAUAACUUCGGGAAACCGGAGCUAAUACCGGAUAAUAUUUUGAACCGCAUGGUUCAAAAGUGAAAGACGGUCUUGCUGUCACUUAUAGGUGGAUCCGCGCUGCAUUAGCUAGUUGGUAAGGUAACGGCUUACCAAGGCAACGAUGCAUAGCCGACCUGAGAGGGUGAUCGGCCACACUGGAACUGAGACACGGUCCAGACUCCUACGGGAGGCAGCAGUAGGGAAUCUUCCGCAAUGGGCGAAAGCCUGACGGAGCAACGCCGCGUGAGUGAUGAAGGUCUUCGGAUCGUAAAACUCUGUUAUUAGGGAAGAACAUAUGUGUAAGUAACUGUGCACAUCUUGACGGUACCUAAUCAGAAAGCCACGGCUAACUACGUG